UACAGAGGUCUCAAGCGUUGUUCGGAUUCAUUGGGCGUAAAGGGUGCGUAGGCGGCGCGGUAAGUCGGGUGUGAAAUCUUGGAGCUUAACUCCGAAACUGCAUUCGAUACUGUCGGGCUAGAGUCCGGAAGAGGCGAGUGGAAUUCCUGGUGUAGCGGUGGAAUGCGCAGAUAUCAGGAGGAACACCAAUAGCGAAGGCAGCUCGCUGGGACGGUACUGACGCUAAGGCGCGAAAGCGUGGGGAGCGAACAGG
rnacentral:rRNA from 1 species